AGGUAACCAGUCAUGUGAGUAGAGACCAUCCAAGAGGUACCAGCAUGGUAGUAGAGACAUCAUGCCAAUAGGUACCAGUCAUGGUGAGUAGAGACACAUGUCAAUAGGUACCAGUCAUGGUGAUAGAGACAUGUCAAUAGGUACCAGUCAUGGUGAGUAGAGACAUAUGUCAAUAGGUACCAGUCAUGUGGUAGAGAGACUCAUGUCAAUAGGUACCAGUCAUUGGUGAGUAGAGACAUCAUGUCAAUAGGUACCAGUCAUGGUGAGUAGAGACCUCAUGUCAAUAGGUACCAGUCAUGGUGAGUAGAGACAU
rnacentral:lncRNA from 1 species